rnacentral:tmRNA from 1 species
GGGGCUGAGUUGGUUUUGACAGCGAGUUCAACUGGUAAGUAAGCAUGUCGGGCAUCGCACAUUAUCCCGUAAAUCUGUUGUGUAAACAAUUAACUGGCGAAAACAAUUACGCUCUCGCUGCCUAAUCGAAUUAUAGUAGAUUGUGGCUUUAUUCCGGCAUCAGAUGCCGGAACGAGACAUUCCACCUGCAGGUAAGGCCUGAUUCCAGCGGGUAUUCGGAGUGCUAACAAUUUCGGGCUGGCCGGUAUACUGCUUCAGUGUUCUGGCGAGAAAACAGAAGAUAAGUUUUGGUUCGGGUGUUUGUUCCCAGGCCAAAAUCGAAAACCAAUAACAAAAUAAACAUGUAGAAAGCUUAUGAGUGUCUUGUUUGGACCCGGGUUCGAAUCCCGGCAGCUCCACCU